rnacentral:rRNA from 1 species
CCACACGACUCUCGGCAACGGAUAUCUCGGCUCUCGCAUCGAUGAAGAACGUAGCGAAAUGCGAUACCUGGUGUGAAUUGCAGAAUCCCGUGAACCAUCGAGUCUUUGAACGCAAGUUGCGCCCGAGGCCAUCCGGCCAAGGGCACGCCUGCCUGGGCGUCACGC